rnacentral:rRNA from 1 species
AUGAAUUUGAUUGCUUCCAUUACCGAAGAGAACAAAAGAAGAAAAAGGGAAAGGAUCAUCUUGACAGUGAUGUAUGUUGAGUCAGUUUGUCUUGGCCUAGCUUAUCUUAGUACGCAGAGAGUACCGAAGAGUUUGCGAUGCUUUAGUGACGAAGAGCUUUGAUAUGUUCAUAGGAAGUACUUGCUCAAAGAAAUGUACAAUGGGUCAGAAGUAACUUGCUAUGAUGAGUUGCGCUUAACCAAAAGGAAUUUUCAUGAUCUUUGCACGAUGUUGCGUAUGAAGUGUGGUCUAAAAGAUAGCGUAUAUGUCACUGUAGAAGAAAAGGUUGAUAUGUUCUUGUUGCGUAUGAAGUGUGGUCUGAAAGAUAUGCCUACUAAUAGUCUCUAA